AAUGAACGCUGGCGGCAGGCCUAACACAUGCAAGUCGAGCGGACGCACGAUGAGCUCUCGCUUCUGCCGUUGGCGACGGACGGGUGAGUAAUACGUACAUAACCUUCCUCUUUUUCUUGGGUAAUUACGUGAAACCUCAUCCACUACUGGCUCAUAUGUCGAACGGCUUGGAUCAAUAGAUCUUGAUGUCUUUGCUGAUUCUAUUAGCUGUUUUCGCGCCGGAUUAGCUAGUUGGUAAGGUAAAGGCUUACCAAGGCUACGAUGCGUAGCCGACCUGAGAGGAUGAUCAGCCACACUGGAACUGAGACACGGUCCAGACUCCUACGGGAGGCAGCAGUAGGGAAUAUUCGGCAAUGGGCGAAAGCUUGACGGAGCAACGCCGCGUGAGUGAAGAAGGUCUUCGGAUCGUAAAACUCUGUUAUUGGGGAAGAAAAGAAGUAUAAGUAAAUAUGCACGUCUUGACGGUACCUAAACAAAAAGCAACGGCUAACUUCGUG
rnacentral:rRNA from 1 species